AAGUAAUUUAAACGUACAUUAUACGAAAAUAGCAUAUCUGCAUGACAUUAAAUGGAAAUCAAGUGAAUAGUGAUAUUAUUUUGCAUCUAACACACAAAACCAUCACUUGUAACUAGAUGUAACUCCACAAAUAUUAUGAAAAUAAUUUGAUUUUGGAACAACCAUUUACAUAAGCAAUAAAAAUCUAUAUAUUUUUCUUAUUACGCCAACAAAUAUUGAAUCAUAUGUUUUUGGUGAUCACUGUUAUUAACAGAAUAUUUUUCGGCGGAAAAUUGAACGCAGAGUCUUGAGUUUUUACCACUGACAGAACAGUUAUCUUGCAACAGAAGGAUGGAACAGAUGCAAAAAGUCACUACAUUUUAUUGCAGAGUUUACUUCAAAAAGAAGUAGUCUGUUUAAGGGCGUGCAGUAAAAACAUUUUAUGACGUGUAUAACACGAGGUUUCGAAUAACGUAGUUUUAUUAUCGUGAAUGAUUCGAUGUAAUUCCUUAGAGUUACUUCUAGCUGAUUUUAAAUACAAACACAAUGGUAGAAUGAAAAAUACCUUACAAUAGAUGACAUGUGUAAAUAGCACGAGUACCAUUACAUUGAUAAUAA